UACGGAGGGUGCAAGCGUUGCUCGGAAUUAUUGGGCGUAAAGGGUAGGUAGGUGGUCUCAUUUGUCUGGGGUGAAAGCCUUGGGCUUAACUCAAGAAGUGCCCCAGAAACGGUGAGACUGGAGUCCUGGAGAGGGUCGUGGAAUUCCCGGUGUAGCGGUGAAAUGCGUAGAGAUCGGGAGGACACCAGAGGCGAAAGCGGCGACCUGGACAGGCACUGACACUCAACUACGAAAGCGUGGGGAGCAAACAGG
rnacentral:rRNA from 1 species